UACGUAGGGUGCGAGCGUUAAUCGGAAUUACUGGGCGUAAAGCGUGCGCAGGCGGUAAGUUAAGUCUGAUGUGAAAGCCCCGGGCUCAACCUGGGAAUGGCAUUGGAAACUGGCUUGCUGGAGUGUGGCAGAGGGGGUGGAAUUCCGCGUGUAGCAGUGAAAUGCGUAGAGAUGCGGAGGAACACCGAUGGCGAAGGCAGCCCCUGGGCCAACACUGACGCUCAGGCACGAAAGCGUGGGGAGCAAACAGG
rnacentral:rRNA from 1 species